rnacentral:rRNA from 1 species
UACGGAAGGUCCAAGCGUUAAUCGGAAUUACUGGGUGUAAAGCGCGCGUAGGUGGUUUAUUAAGUUGGGUGUGAAAGCCCCGGGCUCAACCUGGGAACUGCAUCCAAAACUGAUUCACUAGAGUACGAAAGAGGGAGGUAGAAUUCACAGUGUAGCGGUGGAAUGCGUAGAUAUUGUGAAGAAUAUCAAUGGCGAAGGCAGCCUCCUGGUUCUGUACUGACACUGAGGUGCGAAAGCGUGGGUAGCGAACAGGAUUAGAUACCCUGGUAGUCCACGCCGUAAACGAUGGCAACUAGCUGUUGGGAAGCAAUGCUUUUCAGUGGCGCAGCUAACGUAUUAAGUUGUCCGCCUGGGGAGUACGGCCGCAAGGUUAAAACUCAAAUGAAUUGACGGGGACCCGCACAAGCGGUGGAGCAUGUGGUUUAAUUCGAUGCAACGCGGAAAACCUUACCUACUCUUGACAUCCUUGGAAUCUCUUGUAAUGAGAGAGUGCCUUUUGGAACCAAGUGACAGGUGCUGCAUGGCUGUCGUCAGCUCGUGUCGUGAGAUGUUCCGUUAAGUCGGAUAACGAGCGCAACCCUUACCCUUAUUUGCCAGCGGUUCGGCCGGGAACUAUAAGGGGACUGCCGGUGAUAAACCGGAGGAAGGUGAGGAUGACGUCAAGUCAUCAUGGCCCUUACGAGUAGGGCUACACACGUGCUACAAUGGGAAGUACAGAGGGACGCCAAAGCGUGAGCUGGAGCUAAUCUCAUAAAACUUUUCGUAGUCCGGAUUGCAGUCUGCAACUCGACUGCAUGAAGUCGGAAUCGCUAGUAAUCGCGGACCAGCACGCCGCGGUGAAUACGUUCUCGGGUCU